rnacentral:rRNA from 1 species
ACUCCUACGGGAGGCAGCAGUGGGGAAUAUUGCACAAUGGGCGCAAGCCUGAUGCAGCCAUGCCGCGUGUAUGAAGAAGGCCUUCGGGUUGUAAAGUACUUUCAGCAGUGAGGAAGGUGGUAGUGUUAAUAGCACUAUCAUUUGACGUUAGCUGCAGAAGAAGCACUGGCUAACUCCGUGCCAGCAGCCGCGGUAAUACGGAGGGUGCGAGCGUUAAUCGGAAUUACUGGGCGUAAAGCGCAUGCAGGUGGUUUGUUAAGUCAGAUGUGAAAGCCCGGGGCUCAACCUCGGAAUUGCAUUUGAAACUGGCAGACUAGAGUACUGUAGAGGGGGGUAGAAUUUCAGGUGUAGCGGUGAAAUGCGUAGAGAUCUGAAGGAAUACCGGUGGCGAAGGCGGCCCCCUGGACAGAUACUGACACUCAGAUGCGAAAGCGUGGGGAGCAAACAGGAUUAGAUACCCUGGUAGGAUAGCG